rnacentral:rRNA from 1 species
CCUACGGGAGGCAGCAGUGAGGAAUAUUCGUCAAUGGACGCGAGUCUGAACCAGCCAAGUAGCGUGAAGGAUGACUGCCCUAUGGGUUGUAAACUUCUUUUAUACAAGAAUAAAACGAGGCACGUGUGCCUGUUUGCAAGUACUUUAUGAAUAAGGAUCGGCUAACUCCGUGCCAGCAGCCGCGGUAAUACGGAGGAUCCGAGCGUUAUCCGGAUUUAUUGGGUUUAAAGGGAGCGUAGAUGGGUUGUUAAGUCAGUGGUGAAAGUUUGCGGCUCAACCGUAAAAUUGCAAUUGAUACUGGCAGUCUUGAGUAUAGUUGAGGUAGGCGGAAUGCGUGGUGUAGCGGUGAAAUGCAUAGAUAUCACGAAGAACCCCGAUUGCGAAGGCAGCUUACUAAACUGCGACUGACAUUGAGGCUCGAAAGUGUGGGUAGCAAACAGGAUUAGAUACCCCAGUAGUC